rnacentral:rRNA from 1 species
GACGAACGCUGGCGGCGUGCUUAACACAUGCAAGUCGAACGGUAAGGCCCUUCGGGGUACACGAGUGGCGAACGGGUGAGUAACACGUGGGUGAUCUGCCCUGCACUUCGGGAUAAGCCUGGGAAACUGGGUCUAAUACCGGAUAGGACUCCGGACUGCAUGGUCUGGGGUGGAAAGCUUUUGCGGUGUGGGAUGGGCCCGCGGCCUAUCAGCUUGUUGGUGGGGUGAUGGCCUACCAAGGCGACGACGGGUAGCCGGCCUGCGAGGGUGACCGGCCACACUGGGACUGGGAUACGGCCCAGACUCCUACGGGAGGCAGCAGUGGGGAAUAUUGCACAAUGGGCGCAAGCCUGAUGCAGCGACGCCGCGUGAGGGAUGACGGCCUUCGGGUUGUAAACCUCUUUCAGCACCGACGAAGCGCAAGUGACGGUAGGUGCAGAAGAAGAACCGGCCAACUACGUGCCAGCCGCCGCUGUAA